AUGAAGAGAAUCUUCUGCUUCCUACUUCUGGUUAUCCUUCAAUAUUACAAGCUUCCUAAUGUGGCAUUAGCGACCACAAAUUUCUCCCUAUCUCAACGAGAACAAAGACGAACCAAGGAUGACAAUGUGGAGAAGUUGCUGUUGGCCUUCAAGGAGAAUUCAGUUCAAUCUGAUUCACAAGGUUUCUUAUCCGACUGGAAACACAAUUCUUCCAUUCCUGUCUGCUCAUGGAAAGGCCUCACCUGUUCACCACAAGGCCAUGUGACUACCCUAAAUCUCUGGAAUGCUGGCAUAGUUGGCAGUUUACACUUCCAACUCUCACAGCCUUGCCGAGUCUUCAAAAUCUGUACUUGCAAGGCAAUUCUUUCUCUGCUUCUGAUCUUUCUGUUUCCAACAUUACCUCAUGUAGUCUUGUAACAGUUGACUUGUCCUCCAACAACAUCACAAGCCCUCUUCCUAUUCAGUCUUUUCUUGAGGGUUGUGAGCAUCUGGCCUCGGUCAACCUCUCUGGUAAUUCCAUCCCAGGAGGGAGUUUCCGCUUCGGUGCUUCUUUGCUUCAGCUUGACAUCUCUAGAAACCGGAUUUCGGAUUCGUCCUUGUUGACUUGCCAGAAUCUUAAUCUGCUCAAUGUUUCCGGUAACAAGCUCACCGGAAAGCUGAGUGGUUCUAUCUUGUCUUGCAAGAAUCUGACAACACUUGACCUUUCAUACAAUGCUUUGUCAGGGGAGAUACCAAACACUUUCCUGGAAAGCGCCUCGGCAUCACUCAAGUAUUUGGAUCUCUCAAGCAACAAUUUCACUGGAAAGUUUGCAAGCCUUGGUUUCGGGCAGUGCAGCAGCCUCACUUUGCUGAAACUAUCACACAAUAAUCUCUACGGGGAUGAGUUUCCUUCAAGCCUUGCCAACUGUCAAGCUUUGGAGACACUGAACCUGACUAGUAACAAGUUUCAGGACAAGAUUCCAGGUGCUCUGUUGGGAAAUCUCAAGAAAUUGAGGCAACUCUUUCUGGGUCGUAAUCAGUUUUCUGGUGUAAUUCCAGCUGAAUUAGGAAAGGCCUGUGGGACACUCCAGGAGCUUGAUAUUUCUGAUAACAUUCUUACUGGUGAAUUGCCUUCAAGUUUUGUGUCAUGCCACUUCUUUGGUUACUCUCAAUCUUGGUCGCAAUCAGCUAUCAGGAAAUUUCCUCAAUACUGUUGUGAGUAAGCUUCCUAGUUUGAGAUAUCUGUAUGCACCCUUCAACAGCAUAACUGGUCCUGUGCCACCCUCUAUUACCAAUGGUACUCGGCUUCAAGUGCUCGAUCUCAGCGCUAAUCUCUUCACAGGGAAUGUUCCUUCAGGGUUUUGCUCCUCCAAUGCUCCCUCAGCUUUGGAAAAGAUACUUCUAGCUAACAAUUUCCUCUCCGGGACUGUCCCAUCAGAACUUGGAAACUGCAAGAACUUAAGAGCUAUUGAUCUGAGUUUCAACAAUUUGAGUGGUGCAAUUCCUUCAGAAAUUUGGACCUUGCCAAAACUUUCUGACUUGGUUAUGUGGGCAAACAAGUUCACUGGUGAAAUCCCCGAAGGCAUUUGCGUCAAUGGAGGAAACCUGGAAACCCUGAUUCUCAACAAUAAUCUCAUUUCUGGAGCCAUUCCACAGUCCAUUGGCAGCUGCACCCAUAUGAUUGACAACGAGAAUUUACACAGGGUUGACAGUUUACACAUUCACCAGCAAUGGAAGCAUGAUCUUCCUUGACAUUUCCUACAAUUCCUUGUCUGGGACUAUUCCCGCAAACCUAGGUAAUCUGUCCUAUUUGCAAGUCUUCAAUCUAGGACACAAUAUGUUAGGUGGAAAUAUUCCAGAGAGCUUUGGAGGAUUGAAAGCAGUUGGAGUCCUGGAUCUCUCUCACAAUAAUCUUCAAGGUUAUGUCCCAGGAUCUUUGGGGACUCUCUCUUUCCUGAGUGACCUUGAUGUGUCUAACAACAACCUCACCGGUCUCAUCCCUUCUGGAGGUCAGCUUACCACUUUCCCAGCAUCCAGAUAUGAGAACAACUCUGGCCUUUGUGGGUUACCCCUGCCACCGUGUGGCUCUCAAAGACAUUCAGCAGAGAGAGUUAAGGGAAAGAAGCCGUCUAUGGAUUCAGGAAUGGUCAUUUCUUUUGCCUCUUUCACUUUCUUCUUUAUUGUAACUGUGUAUCUCUCUUUCUUUUCACCCUACCUUGACCUCCCAUUUAGGAUUCUCCUCAAGGUUUUUUCCUGCUAGGAUCCGCUCAACCUUUCUUCCCACAUUCACCUCCUCCAAAUUCAAUCCAAAAGACACAAAUUUUUCCAUCACACUUGAGAGAGCAAAACCGAUUGGUUACAAACUGACAAAUAAAUUUGAACAUUAACCUCCCUAGCCUUCCUUAUUAUUUUGCUUUUCAUGAUCACAGUAAAAGCAUCAACCUUUACCACCCCCAAAAUCUUGAUCAUUCUCCUCAAAAUCUUGAUCUUUUAGUUUUAUGCAAUGUUAUUGGUUUUUAGCUUUUUACUUCUCAAACCCACAG